rnacentral:rRNA from 1 species
UGCCAGCCGCCGCGGUAAUACGGAGGGGGCUAGCGUUGUUCGGAAUUACUGGGCGUAAAGCGCGCGUAGGCGGCUUGAUCAGUCGGAUGUGAAAGCCCCGGGCUUAACCUGGGAACUGCAUUCGAUACUGUCUAGCUAGAGUAUGGUAGAGGGAAGUGGAAUUCCGGGUGUAGCGGUGAAAUGCGUAGAUAUCCGGAGGAACACCAGUGGCGAAGGCGGCUUUCUGGACCGAUACUGACGCUGAGACGCGAAAGCGUGGGGAGCAAACAGGAUUAGAUA